CGGACGGGUGAGUAACGCGUGAGAAUCUGCCUCCAGGUCGGGGACAACAGCGGGAAACUGCUGCUAAUCCCGGAUAAGCCCUAGGGUAAAAGAUUUAUUGCCUGGAGAGGAGCUCGCGUCCGAUUAGCUAGAUGGUGAGGUAAGAGCUCCCCAUGGCGACGAUCGGUAGCUGUUCUGAGAGGAAGAUCAGCCACACUGGGACUGAGACACGGCCCAGACUCCUACGGGAGGCAGCAGUGGGGAAUUUUCCGCAAUGGGCGAAAGCCUGACGGAGCAAGACCGCGUGCGGGAAGAAGGCCCUUGGGUCGUAAACCGCUUUUCUUAGGGAAGAAGCUCUGACGGUACCUAAGGAAUCAGCCUCGGCUAACUCCGUGCCAGCAGCCGCGGUAAUACGGAGGAGGCAAGCGUUAUCCGGAAUUAUUGGGCGUAAAGCGUCCGCAGGCGGCUUAUCAAGUCUGCUGUCAAAGACUGGGGCUCAACCCUGGGGAGGCAGUGGAAACUGAGAAGCUAGAGUGCAGUAGGGGUAGAGGGAAUUCCCAGUGUAGCGGUGAAAUGCGUAGAGAUUGGGAAGAACACCGGUGGCGAAAGCGCUCUACUGGGCUGUAACUGACGCUGAGGGACGAAAGCUAGGGGAGCGAAAGGGAUUAGAUACCCCUGUAGU
rnacentral:rRNA from 1 species